rnacentral:rRNA from 1 species
AUGGGUCCACUUGGAGCUUGGAUAGUUGAGGUGGUGUCCAUGGGGAUGAUCGUGGGAUGCUCCGCAUCACAGCCUCUUCCCGGCCACCGAAAAUCCUCCUUGAAGAUCAUGCCAAUGGUCAUUCGAAGUCAUCAUCGUCUUCCUCCUCCUUCUCCUCCGACGAGUCCUCGAAGACCAUCUCCCUCAACCUCUUCAUCUACACCGGGCGCCAAUGACACGGUUCAAUUCAAUUGUCAAAAGAAAAACGAGUUGCAAAAACACGAAAAAAACUCACCUAGCCAAACCAUCGAACACUUGAAGGACGACAGAGGUGUCACGGCCCGUCGGCCAUGUUGA